GACGAACGCUGGCGGCGUGCCUAAUACAUGCAAGUCGAGCGGACUUAACAAGCUUGCUUUUUAAGUUAGCGGCGGACGGGUGAGUAACACGUUGGCAACCUGCCUGUAAGACUGGGAUAACUUCGGGAAACCGGUGCUCAUACCGGAUAAUCCUUUUCUACUCAUGUAGAAAAGCUGCAAGACGGUAUACGCUUUCACUUACAGUUGCGCCCGCCGCGCAUUAGCUAGUUGGUGAGGUAACGGAUGACCAAGGCGACGAUGCGUAGCCGACCUGAGAGGGUCGUCGGCCAGACUGGUAGAGAGGAACGGCCGAGACUCCGACGGUGGGAAGCAGUAGGGAAUCUUCCGGAAGGGACGAGAGUCGGACGGAGCAACGCCGCGUGAGUGAUGAAGGUGUUCGGAUCGGAAAACUCUGUUGUUAGGGAGGAACAAGUACGAGAGUAACUGCUCAGACCUUGACGGUACCUAACCAGAAAGCCACGGCUAACUACGUG
rnacentral:rRNA from 1 species